GUCAGCAUGAAAUGCAAGCCUGAUCGUGUUGAUGGUGGCUACGUACUUAAUGGAAACAAGAUGUGGUGUACUAAUGGUCCAGUCGCUCAAACAUUGGUUGUCUAUGCAAAGACAGACAUAACAGCUGGGUCAAAAGGAAUCACUACAUUCAUCAUCGAUAAGGGAAUGCCAGGGUACUUAUAGUGAACCUAGUCAAAUUUAAAGUGUACUAAAGUGUCUGCAUUUCAAGCUUACAGAUCAGUUAUUUCUUGAAAAUAAAUAUUAAAGCAGUAAUUUUAUCAAAUAUAAAAGGCUGGUUACUGGCUUCUUGUCGCAACUUCGUUGCUUUCUUUGUGUUAUUAUGCUUAUAAUUAGCCUUCAAAAUUUGUAGGCAAAACAAUGUUUGGGAGGAAAUGGAUAUAUGAAUGAGUAUCCAACUGGUCGUCUUCUGAGAGAUACCUAACUAUAUGAGAUUGGUGCAGGAACUAGUGAGAUCAGAAGAAUGAUUAUUGGACGUGAACUCUUCAAGGAGCAGUAGUGAAAUGUUCAUUAUGUAACAGUAAAUGUUCAUUCAUCAAAGGGGAAUAAAAUCAGUAAUGAGAAUCCAUUAUUAAUAAAGGAAAGCUAUUUUUACCAAAAA